CCUACGGGUGGCAGCAGUGGGGAAUAUUGCACAAUGGGGGGAACCCUGAUGCAGCGACGCCGCGUGGGUGAAGGAGUAUUUCGGUAUGUAAAGCCCUAUCAGCAGGGAAGAACAAUGACGGUACCUGACUCAGAAGCACCGGCUAAAUACGUGCCAGCAGCCGCGGUAAUACGUAUGGUGCAAGCGUUAUCCGGAUUUACUGGGUGGAAAGGGAGGGCAGGCGGCGCGUUUAGCCUGGUGUGAAAGCCCGCGGCCCAACCGCGGGACUGCAGUGGGAACUGGCGCGCUGGAGUGCCGGAGGGGUAGGCGGAAUUCCUAGUGUAGCGGUGAAAUGCGUAGAUAUUAGGAGGAACACCAGUGGCGAAGGCGGCCUACUGGACGGUGACUGACGCUGAGGCUCGAAAGCGUGGGGAGCAAACAGGAUUAGAUACCCUGGUAGUC
rnacentral:rRNA from 1 species